ACUGACUGGGUCACUGGUGAAGUUCCCCGCAGGAACUGAGUCAGACCCCAUCUCAGGGCCCUGCACAAGAUAGGUACCUGCUCUAAGGCGUGGACCCUCGCCACAGCCCUGGCCCGUCUUGACGGGCGAGGGUUACUGUACUUGUCCCAACCGUACAGAUGAGAAAGCUGAGACUCAGGGCCAGCAACCCGGGUCCCAGCGGAGCGCCCGGCACGCGCCAACACUUCAGCACCAGUCGCGGUGGCCACCACUGUGCGCGGAGAUGGCUGCGACGCGUGCGCAGAUCUCGAUCCCAAACUCCCUCCUACCAGAAUCUGGACCCGAAUCCACCCAUUGUCCGUUUUCCGCUGCCGCUGGAGAGAAUCUCUGAGGUCCCCAGGAGAGCCUGCCUGCACGGAAGAGACGCCUCCUCGAUUAAAUGCUGUUUUCCAUGACCGUCUCUGUUCUUCCCAUACGCGAAUGGCAGGCAUUCAGAUCUCCAAGAAUAGAGGAUUAGGAGAGACUCCACCACCUAUGUCCUCACAGUUAAUUAUCGAUUUGUGUCAGUUGCCCAUUUUCUCACUUCCUGUUUGUGUGUCAAGGGGUAUUAAUAAAUCUUUGCCUAUUUAAAGAUAUUAGCCUUGGAUUUUCAAAUAUUGCAUAUUUUGACAUGUAAAAAUUUGUUAGUUUUAUUUUUUCAACCGAUCUGACCUGUAUAGUUGGGCUUGAGGAAGCUUCCUCAUUCUACAUGUUACUAUGGAUUUUCUAAUAUUAACACAGGGUUGUAUUUUUUCCAUAUAACUUUCUAUUGAAUUUCUUUUUCCAUAUGAUAGGUGGUGAAGGUUUAGCCCAGUAAAGCAGAGAGGUUAAGAGGUUAGAUUGGGGGCUCUGGAGCCAGACCUGUGUAGAUCUGAGUCCUGGCUCUGGCACUUGAAAGCCGUGUGACCUUGGUUAAGAUACUUAGUCCCUCUCUGCCAAAUGGAGAAAUAAGGGCACCUACCCCAUAGGGUAGUUGUGUGAUUACACAAGUUAAUACACUUCAAUCAGUAGCAAGAAAGUGAAUGUCAAGCUGUAUUUGUUCAGGCAGCCAUAUGGUAGCCCCACGUCCUUAGUAAACUGAGGUAUUGAAGUAUCUUCUUUUUCUUUCAGAAAAUAUUUGUCAAGCACCUUCUGUGUUCAAAGAACUGUUCUAGAGCUUUACAUGCUAUGGAGGUCUAGAAAUUCACAUUAUGGUGGCAGGUGACAGACAAUACAAAGAGAUAAAGCAAUUUUAUAUAGUGAUAAGCUAGGGAGGAGUGCUAAAAGGAGCCAAGGUGUAGUGGUGACUGGAAGGUGACCAGGGAAACCACUGUAGGGUUUCUAAGUGAUGAGAUCUGUGACAAAUCCCUGUGGUCAGCAGCAGGCAUUGGAUAUGUAACUUUAUUCUGUCCCAUUGAUCUUGUAGUCAACCCUGGUCUGUUCUGUAUUGUUUUAAUUACAUAAUCUUUGUAAUAAUCUUUAA
rnacentral:lncRNA from 10 species